GAUCCAGAAGAUAAGCCAAAUCAUAGUCGUGACCAGCGUCUGUCCACUGGGGAUCUGAUUUCACCCCGAACACUAGUGGGAGUCCACAAUGGGCUUCAGUCUGUCCCCUAACCUGAAGUGUCUCUCUACCUUAAUCCCCACCAUCCAUUCACUUUGCUUUGUCCUCUUCAGCUUCAUGGACGUCUCUUUACAGCUAGAGCCCUUUUGCUCUCUGGGUCUUCUCUGCUCGAACACUCUUGUCCUGGGAAACUGCAUGACUGGCUCCCUCACCUCCUUCAAGUCUUCCCAGGGAGACCAGCCUUUCCAUUCUAUUCCACUUGCAGUGUCCUAGCACCUGACACUCAUCGUUCUCUGUCCCUGCUCUCUUUCUUCUCCACGGGACUACUCAUGGUCUUCCUGUUUGCUUAUCGUGUGCUUCCUCUAUUAGAAUGUAAGCUCCCCGAGGGCUGUGGCUGCUGUCUGUGUUACCGGGUGCCCUGGUGCCUCUCAUAGGACCCAGCCCAUAGUGAAUGCCCAGUAAACUUUAAUGGGUGAGUGCAUGAAGUCAGUCUCAGGGCUGGGCAUCCAAGCCCCUCUUCUCUUCUCGGAUCCUCUGGUCCAAUGCACUGAACUCAGCUGGUUGCCAAUAUGCUUUGUCGGCCCAACUAAAGAUAAAGUGUACUGAAGUCGGAGGUCUCCCUCAGCCUGAAGUCUGUUGUUUGGUAAAGUAGUUGGAGGAGCGUAGUCACAUUGCCUACAUCAGAAGGUACUACACUCCUGGCUGUGUGUGCUGACUCUAACUAUUGUCAUUCUGAUCAAUAAAUGCUUCUGUUGUCUAAGUUUAAAAUACA